rnacentral:lncRNA from 1 species
UAAGGAGGGCAUAGAGAUCGCAUACUUAAAUUUUAAAAAUCAUAGUACUAAGGAAUCAAAUGUUUGAUUCUUUAUGACUUGGCUAUUGUUUGUUCUAGUCUCAGUGGUCACCAGUGCCACCAACCUGUAAUAUUGUCGAAAUAGAGUUUUGUUCCCCAGGUAAGGGAGUCAUAUAGAACUGGUAUCACUACUUAUAGAAAAUUAACUGAAAACACAUGUACUGAUUUGCUCUUGGAUAAUAUUGAGGGUUAUAUUGGUUUUAAACAAUAUCUACAAAACUAAAGUGUUUUAUUUAUAUAACAGGAAAUUGAAAGAAUGGGGAUAGAUAGAAGAAAGAAUGCUUGGACAGUAAUAAUGAUUAGAUAUUAGAAUACAUUUCCUGGGGGAAAGAUGGUAUGAGUUGAACCCAGGGCUUUGCACAUGCUAAGCAUAUACUCUUCCACUGAACUAGCCACUGAGAGUCCCAGGAGAAUAUUUUAAAUAAUUUGACAUAUCAUAUUGUUAUAGAUCAUGUGGGUAUUGCUGAAAGUAGGAGCAGGUCAAAAGUAGACUUGGUUUUGUCAAAUAUGUCUGUUGAAAGUUAGGGAAAAUGUUUCAUUUUCUCUAAAAAAUCAUUAAUAUUAGAAUCUCAUUUCAUUUUUCAGUAUUGACUUUGUAAGUGAUUUUUGGAGCUUUUAAGUUUAAUGUAAAACACUGUUUUUUAUACACGGCACACAGUGGGCACCUUUAAAAUGACCUAUUUGUCCACCAUUUAAUUUGCAGAAUAUGUUCCUGCACAUUUCUGUAUUUUCUUGAUUCUAGAGAUUACUACUUGUAAGACAUAUCCUUUGAUUCAAGAAAAAGCCCCUCUGCCUUUUAAAAACACCGAAUACUUUGCUUGGGAGAGGAAGAAAAUUUGAUCUAAGGAUUAUUCUGAAUUCUUUUGAUAACUCAUAGGCAUUAUAGCCACAUGCUGCUCUUCUUCACCUCUAGUACCUUCAGGAUUG